rnacentral:lncRNA from 1 species
UCAGUGCGUGCCACGUUUCACUGCCCAAACUGCGGGAACUUGGGCGGACAAAACAAACGGUCUGUGCAAAAGUUGUGUGAGAAGUGACGAUACGAUCUUACUGCGGGACGUUAAUAAAAUGACAUUAGACUCAGUGUUGACCGACGGAACGCUUGACCGAUCCGCAGAUCUGUAGAAAGAAGUUUGCGACGUUAAAGUGUAAUGGUGAAACUCUACUAAUCAAUGUGUUUUUUUAAUUUAUCAAUAGCUUUCAUUCCUCUUUUUUUGUGCAAGAGCGACUGUAAUAAUAGUUUGGAUGUUUUCAUUUGCCAUUUGUGCGUAUUGGAGUGAUUACUUGCAUGUGCAUUGUGCGUUGUGCGUCUGUCUGCAUUGAAUAACAAUAUAAAAGCGCUUGAGUGAAUAUUCAGCCCCGGAGCGUACAGACCUCGAUAUCGCCUAUGUGAACGGAGUAUUGGAGUUUCCACUGAGACUCCCGUUCACGCCCGUGGAAUCCAUAGUAGUACGAAUAUGGCUGCAACGAAAUGCUUCGUGGGAACUCUUCUGCGCCGGGAAAUACGUCGUGAAUCUUGGCGCCCUUAUGUACUCUCGGAUAAUUACUGUCAGUGACUACAGCGAACACCAAAUUUAUCCAACAUUGA